GGGAGCCAGAGCCUUGAACUUUCAGGCCCUUUCAGCCCCUUGUAUGCAGGAGAUAAGAUAAGCCUUGAAACUUUUCUUUUCGAUAAGGUGACUCUGAAUCAUUCUUUUGUUAUCUUGCAAUAGGCCUAGGCUGCUGGGAGCUUGCUAUGAUGCACUGACUUCUUCACAUACUGUUUUCACCCUGUGUAUGUAUUAUUUAUCUCUGGCUCUUCUCUUCCACAUUGUGUCUUUUGUCCUGUCUCUUUACCCUUACCCCCAGCUGGUCAUGGCAGUUUCUUCCUGUUGAAGGGGAGUUUUUGCUUCCCGCUGUUGCAAAGUGCUUGAUCAGGGGGUCAUCUGAAUGUUAUGGUUUUCCUUUACCCUACAAUAUAAAGUGCCUUGAAGUUGUGUUGUGAUUUGGGUAAUGUAUAAAUAAAAUUUAUUUGAACUGUCUCACAGAGAAUCAUCUGUUUUCUCAUUUUAACAUUUUUGUUUCAAUGUAGUUUUUUUUUUUUUUUACUUUACUUUGAAUUUAUUUUUUCAUGAAAUUCACUGUUGUAACCAGAGUCUCCCAAAUCUGUGUUUAACAAAGGGGAGACUCUGGUUGCUUAUCUUAUCCUGGGAGCUGCAGACAUGUAUGAGAAUGACUUGCAAAAGUUGAAAAAAAAAGGAGAAACUGAAUUUCUAGGAAGAACGAGAAAUAACUAGAUGAUUAAAGUGUUUUUUUUUUUUCUUGGCUGUGUUAGCAGCCUGGAUCAAGGCACCUUACUGCACAGGAUUAUCUGUGCUUGAGCUUGAACCAGGGGCCUCAUAAGAUGUGAGCGUCUAUUUUGUUUUGUUUAUAUGAAUCAUGAGGCCCCUGCUAGAAAAGAGGACUGACCGCAACAGGCAUAUAUAAUGAUUUGUUGCACCUUUGCUGGAGGGAUGCCAAUAACCAUGCAACUAACAUUACAGCAUUUCAUAUACCUUCAUUUAUAUGUGGCUUUGCCUGCCACAAAUUGAUUUUCUAUUUUUGGAGCUGCA
ensembl:lncRNA